rnacentral:rRNA from 1 species
GGGUGAGUAACGCGUGGGUAACCUGCCUUGUACUGGGGGACAACAGUUGGAAACGACUGCUAAUACCGCAUAAGCGCACAGCUUCGCAUGAAGCGGUGUGAAAAACUCCGGUGGUACAAGAUGGACCCGCGUCUGAUUAGCUGGUUGGUGAGGUAACGGCCCACCAAGGCGACGAUCAGUAGCCGGCCUGAGAGGGUGAACGGCCACAUUGGGACUGAGACACGGCCCAAACUCCUACGGGAGGCAGCAGUGGGGAAUAUUGCACAAUGGGGGAAACCCUGAUGCAGCAACGCCGCGUGAGUGAAGAAGUAUUUCGGUAUGUAAAGCUCUAUCAGCAGGAAAGAAAAUGACGGUACCUGACUAAGAAGCCCCGGCUAACUACGUGCCAGCAGCCGCGGUAAUACGUAGGGGGCAAGCGUUAUCCGGAUUUACUGGGUGUAAAGGGAGCGUAGACGGUUUUGCAAGUCUGAAGUGAAAGCCCGGGGCUUAACCCCGGGACUGCUUUGGAAACUGUAGAACUAGAGUGCAGGAGAGGUAAGUGGAAUUCCUAGUGUAGCGGUGAAAUGCGUAGAUAUUAGGAGGAACACCAGUGGCGAAGGCGGCUUACUGGACUGUAACUGACGUUGAGGCUCGAAAGCGUGGGGAGCAAACAGGAUUAGAUACCCUGGUAGUCCACGCCGUAA